UACGGGGGGGGCAAGCGUUGUUCGGAAUUACUGGGCGUAAAGGGCUCGUAGGUGGCCAACUAAGUCAUACGUGAAAUCCCUCGGCUUAACCGGGGAACUGCGUCUGAUACUGGAUGGCUUGAAUCCGGGAGAGGGAUGCAGAAUUCCAGGUGUAGCGGUGAAAUGCGUAGAUAUCUGGAGGAACACCGGUGGCGAAGGCGGCCAACUGGACGAAUACUGACGCUGAGACACGAAAGCGUGGGGAGCAAACAGG
rnacentral:rRNA from 1 species